rnacentral:tRNA from 1 species
AGGAAAAUAGUUUAAUUAAAAACAAUUAAUUUGCAUUUAAUAAAUAUUAAAACCUUAAUUUUUCUUAACAUAAAAUUUAAUAUAA